CCAACAGGGAUUGCCUCAGUAACGGCGAGUGAAGCGGCAACAGCUCAAAUUUGAAAGCUGGCUCUUUUAGGGCCCGCAUUGUAAUUUGUAGAGGAUGCUUCAGGUGCGGCGCUGGUCUAAGUUCUUUGGAACAAGACGUCAUAGAGGGUGAGAAUCCCGUAUGUGACUAGCUGCCUGUGCCUGUGUGAAGCUCCUUCGACGAGUCGAGUUGUUUGGGAAUGCAGCUCAAAAUGGGUGGUGUACUUCAUCUAAAGCUAAAUAUUGGCCAGAGACCGAUAGCGCACAAGUAGAGUGAUCGAAAGAUGAAAAGCACUUUGGAAAGAGAGUUAAACAGUACGUGAAAUUGUUGAAAGGGAAGCGCUUGCAAUCAGACUUGUGCGGCGUCGAUCAACCUGGGUUCUCCCUGGUGCACUCGGCGCUGCUCAGGCCAGCAUCAGUUUCGGCGGUUGGAUAAAGGCCUAGGGAACGUGGGUUACUUCGGUGACUGUUAUAGCCCUAGGUGCAAUGCAGCCUGCUGGGACUGAGGACCGCGCUUCGGCUAGGAUGCUGGCGUAAUGGUUGUAAGCGACCCGUCUUGAAACACGGACCAAGGAGUCUAACAUCUAUGCGAGUUUUUGGGUGUUAAACCCAUAAGCGUAAUGAAAGUGAACGGAGGUGAGAACCCUUAAGGGUGCAUCAUCGACCGAUCCUGAUGUCUUCGGAUGGAUUUGAGUAAGAGCAUAGCUGUUGGGACCCGAAAGAUGAUGAUCUAUACCUGAAUAGGGUGAAGCCAGAGGAAACUCUGGUGGAGGCUCGCAGCGGUUCUGACGUGCAAAUCGAUCGUCAAAUUUGGGUAUAGGGGCGAAAGACUAAUCGAA
rnacentral:rRNA from 5 species